GUACACACCGCCCGUCACACCAUGAGAGUUGGAGAUACCCGAAGCCUGUGAGCUAACUUUUUAAGAGGCAGCAGUCGAAGGUAGAAUCAAUGAUUGGGGUGAAGUCGUAACAAGGUAUC
rnacentral:rRNA from 1 species